AGAAGGUCCUACUGAGAGGCGGGGAAGCAGGGAGGCAGCGAGGGGUGGAGGUCGCGGAAGACAAUGGUUUACGAGGGACACUACAUCCACUGCCGAACAUCCUGCGUGAGCUGCGUGAGGAAUGCCCACCGCUCCGCCUGGUCCCUGGAGGAUAAAACGAUGGUUUGGCCAGGAGCACCUUUUGGUGUCCAUUGCAUAUAAAAAUUGCGAUCUCAGUCUCGGAAACGUCUCCAAACAGUUGCGUGAGGCUUGAGGAGCAGUGAAGAGCAGCCCUAGCAGUCCGAGGGUUGAUGGUAAUGAAGUCGUGAUCCUUUCCGUCAUAAUCCUCCACCUGGAAUUACCGUGCCUUUUCAGCAGGUGAACACUAAGUACCCAGCAACCCGAGACCCACGAGCAGGUGUCAGGGUCCGCAGCGCCGCUCUACACGUGGCGCUGGGGAAGCGGACACGGGGCACAGGAGGAAGUAGGCCGGAUGGGGCUUCUGGAUGUGUGGAGAGGAGGUGUGGGAGUGUGUGUACGCGAGUGGAGGCACGCAUACACUCCACAUCAGUCCGGCCUUCACUUUCUUCACUUCCUCGCCUAGCUGAGCUGUUUGUGAAGGACUCAGGAUAUGGAACUGCAUCUUACGUUCUCUUCUUGCUGCUACUGCUUCUAAUUGUUCU